rnacentral:rRNA from 1 species
CCUACGGGAGGCUGCAGUGGGGAAUAUUGGACAAUGGGCGAAAGCCUGAUCCAGCCAUGCCGCGUGUGUGAAGAAGGCCUUCGGGUUGUAAAGCACUUUCAGUGGGGAAGAAAGCCUUGGGGCUAAUACCCUCGAGGAAGGACAUCACCCACAGAAGAAGCACCGGCUAACUCCGUGCCAGCAGCCGCGGUAAUACGGAGGGUGCGAGCGUUAAUCGGAAUUACUGGGCGUAAAGCGCGCGUAGGCGGUCUGAUAAGCCGGUUGUGAAAGCCCCGGGCUCAACCUGGGAACGGCAUCCGGAACUGUCAGGCUAGAGUGCAGGAGAGGAAGGUAGAAUUCCCGGUGUAGCGGUGAAAUGCGUAGAGAUCGGGAGGAAUACCAGUGGCGAAGGCGGCCUUCUGGACUGACACUGACGCUGAGGUGCGAAAGCGUGGGUAGCAGACAGGAUUAGAUACCCGAGUAGUC